GAUGAACGCUGGCGGCGUGCCUAAUACAUGCAAGUCGAGCGAACGGACGAGAAGCUUGCUUCUCUGAUGUUAGCGGCGGAAGGGUGAGUAACACGUGGAUAACCUACCUAUAAGACUGGGAUAACUUCGGGAAACCGGAGCUAAUACCGGAUAAUAUUUUGAACCGCAUGGUUCAAAAGUGAAAGACGGUCUUGCUGUCACUUAUAGAUGGAUCCGCGCUGCAUUAGCUAGUUGGUAAGGUAACGGCUUACCAAGGCAACGAUGCAUAGCCGACCUGAGAGGGUGAUCGGCCACACUGGAACUGAGACUCGGUCCAGACUCCUACGGGAGGCAGCAGUAGGGAAUCUUCCGCAAUGGGCGAAAGCCUGACGGAGCAACGCCGCGUGAGUGAUGAAGGUCUUCGGAUCGUAAAACUCUGUUAUUAGGGAAGAACAUAUGUGUAAGUAACUGUGCACAUCUUGACGGUACCUAAUCAGAAAGCCACGGCUAACUACGUG
rnacentral:rRNA from 1 species